GAGGAGUUGGUCGAGAAAAUCAUUACACACCAGGAGGAACAUGCUAAAGACUGGUUAUUUGCUCUACAUGAAAUAUUAGAACCGCAUGAUUUCGUUCGUGUUGUGGUAACUUUAUGGGCGAUCUGGGCUUCACGAAGAAAGGCGAUUCAUGAGGAUAUUUUUCAGUCUCCACAUGCUACAUCAGCUUUCAUCAAUAAGUUUCUGUCAGAGUUGGAGAUAGUAAAUAAAAGGGAGACGCAUGCGGUACCAGGGAGAGUCAUGCGGAGUGCAACAUGGGUGCCGCCAAUCCAAGGAUGUGUCAAGAUCAAUGUUGACGGGGCAGUGGCCGUGAGAAGGAAGCAUGGUUCUGUCGGAGUGAUAUGCAGAGACCAGCAGGGCAACUUUCUGGGGGCUUCAGCGAUCAUCUUCAAGCACAUCACAGAACCUCAAACGUUGGAAGCCCUAGCUAUAAGAUAA
rnacentral:rRNA from 1 species